CGGUAAAGCGCGUCCUUGGUAAGGACGAGACCGGGGGUUCAAAUCCCCCCUCAGGCU
rnacentral:tRNA from 2 species